CAAACGACUCUCGGCAACGGAUAUCUCGGCUCACGCAUCGAUGAAGAACGUAGCAAAAUGCGAUACUUGGUGUGAAUUGCAGAAUCCCGUGAACCAUCGAGUUUUUGAACGCAAGUUGCGCCCGAAGCCAUCCGGUCGAGGGCACGCCUGCCUGGGCGUCACGC
rnacentral:rRNA from 9 species